UACGUAGGGGGCAAGCGUUGUCCGGAUUUAUUGGGCGUAAAGAGCGUGUAGGCGGCCAGGUAGGUCAGCUGUGAAAACUCGAGGCUCAACCUCGAGAUGUCGGCUGAAACCAUCUGGCUAGAGUCCGGAAGAGGAGAAUGGAAUUCCCGGUGUAGCGGUGAAAUGCGCAGAUAUCAGGAGGAACACCGGUGGCGAAGGCGGGUCUCUGGGCCGAAAUUGACGCUGAGGAGCGAAAGCGUGGGGAGCAAACAGG
rnacentral:rRNA from 1 species